rnacentral:lncRNA from 1 species
AAAUCUAUCAUUAUAGAUUUCCAUCCCAUGUUUAUAGACUAUGUCUCCCAUAUACAUUCUAUCGUUAUAGAAUGCUUAAAGUCAUAACUUUAACGAAGAAGUAUUCUUUUCAUUUCCAAAAUUAAUAUAUCAUAUAUAUAUUUAUAUUUUAGGAACAUGAUUAACUCCCAUAUACAUUCUAUCUUCAUAUAAUGUUUUAAAGUCAUAACUUUAACCAAGAAGUUUUCCUUUCAUUUCCAAAAUUAAUAUAUCAUAUAUAUUUAAAUUUUAGGAACAUGAUUAACUCCCACUAAUCUUUUGUAAACCUAGUAAACAAAAGAUUCAUUUACAUCUUUAUAAAAGAGACAAAACAAUUUUGUUCUCAUCCUAUUUGGGCCAUCAUGCAAUAACCACAACUUUUUGGGCCAUAU